GAUGAACGCUGGCGGCGUGCCUAACACAUGCAAGUCGAGCGAACAGACGAGGAGCUUGCUCCUCUGCCGUUAGCGGGGGACGGGCGAGUGACACGUGCAUAACCUACCUCUAAGACUGGGGUAACUUCGGGAAACCGGAUCCAAUACCGCAUCAUACAUCGUACGGGUGGGUUCAAUGGAGAAAGGCAGUUUUGCUGUCACUUUGAGACGAAUUCGGGCCGCAUUAGCUAGUUGGUAAGGUAACGGCGUACCAAGGCGACGAUGCGUAGCCGACCUGAGAGGGUGAUCAGCCACACUGGAACCGAGACACGGUCCAGACUCCUACGGGAGGCAGCAGUAGGGAAUCUUCCGCAAUGGGCGAAAGCCUGACGGAGCAACGCCGCGUGAGUGAUGAAGGUCUUCGGAUCGUAAAGCUCUGUUAUUAGGGAAGAACAACUGUGUAAGUAACUAUGCACGUCUUGACGGUACCUAAUCAGAAAGCCACGGCUAACUACGUG
rnacentral:rRNA from 1 species